GAUGAACGCUGGCGGCGUGCCUAAUACAUGCAAGUCGAGCGAACAGACGAUGAGCUUGCUCCUCUGACGUUAGCGGCGGACGGGUGAGUAACACGUGCAUAACCUACCUAUAAGACUGGGAUAACUUCGGGAAACCGGAGCUAAUACCGGAUCAUAUAUUGAACCGCAUGGUUCAAUAGUUAAAGACGGUUUUGCUGUCACUUAUAGAUGGAUCCGCGCCGCAUUAGCUAGUUGGUAAGGUAACGGCUUACCAAGGCAACGAUGCGUAGCCGACCUGAGAGGGUGAUCGGCCACACUGGAACUGAGACACGGUCCAGACUCCUACGGGAGGCAGCAGUAGGGAAUCUUCCGCAAUGGGCGAAAGCCUGACGGAGCAACGCCGCGUGGGUGAUGAAGGUCUUCGGAUCGUAAAACUCUGUUAUUAGGGAAGAACAAAUGUGUAAGUAACUAUGCACGUCUUGACGGUACCUAAUCAGAAAGCCACGGCUAACUACGUG
rnacentral:rRNA from 1 species